ACUUCUCCCCCUACAAGCUACGACAAUGGCUGCUGCUCACCAGUUCCAUUUCUCUUGAAUCUGAACGCGGCUAACUUUGUCAUAUUAGAAGUUGAAUGACAACAAUUAUCUUCUCCGGGAGAUUCGACUCUUGUCCCCAGUCGAAAGUCCAGAUAAUCAAGGAUUUCUCAUCAGCGAAACAGCCGCUCCUCCACCAUACACUUGAUCAAGAAGAUGGGUAGCAGAUUGCCAAUCCCAAUUACAACGCCGAGGUAUGUUACAGAUGAUCAGUCUUUGGCCCAACCUCAUGCGAUCAUGUCGUGUAAUGUCCAAUGCUGCUAUAUUCAGUCCAUAAGAACAAGGAGGAAGUAGAUUCCCGCCUCGCUUCCCGCAUGGCCAUAGCUUUUUGUACCAAGCUGAGCAUCCGAGUGGGCCGUACGCAUCCCAUGACCACCUGCCAUCAUCGUGGUCAUGGGCGACAUGGCAUACGGCUGGCCUCCCAUGUUGGACGUCGUAUGGCUAGGGUGGCUCAACCUAGGCACGGGGAAGAAUGCAACCUAGACAUGCCUGACCAGCGACGAGCUAGUGUCCAAAAACUGAGACAUUUUCACAAUGCUUCACAAGCACUGUAUUGGUAGCUAAAGUUAUACAAAAAUCUGCUGCAUUUAUUUGUCCUAUGACUUUCUGCGCUUGAAGACAAGUGCAAUCUACUAGGGGAAUUUAUUAAUGCUACGACUAGUUUUUCUUCAAGACAGACGAAGCCAACACUAUUUUAUUUCGGUGGCCGAAUCUGCUUCAACGCCCGCAUGAUCUUCUCUUUCUUUUGUCUGCCCCCUGCCUUCUUGUCUUUUAUGCUUCAUGGAGCGACUGAGCUUGCUUACCAUCAAGGCGCUCAAUCCUCACUCAUCUCAGCUCCGAAAGUCCCUGACAUUGGCAGGAAACGAGGUUCUUGCGAAUUCAAUCUCACAAAUAUCUCGGUUCUCGUAGUUUAUGAGCUUAGUUCAUUGCCUACUGUGUUAUAGAGUGAAGUGUUCAACCGCGAGUCCCCAUGUUUUGUUUUUCUGGGUCUUAUCUCAUCCCGUUCAUGGAUCCUUUGUGAGAUUUCCUUGCGUAGUCAGAUGAAAACUAUGCAACGAUUGCCUUGGAUUAUGUCAUCCUCGAUUCAUAGAUUUGCUGCUAAGUAGAACAAGAUUUGGAAGGGAAAAUCUGAUCUUUUAGUAGCAGAAGUAGG